CUUAUUCAUUUCAUUGUAAGCAAACUUUGCUGUUGUGAAGAUUUGUUAGUUCUGCAUCUUCACUUAAUUUAAAUGCAUAUGGUUCUUACGUUAGUUAGUAUUGGGAUCCUCUGAUGGUGAAUAACCUAAUCUGGGGCCUCUAGCGUCCACUUUUGAAUGUAGCUAUGUGUGCUUAGAUGCAACUUCAUGCUGUCUUAAUUUAGUGCCCUUGUCUUUGUAAAAUUUUGCUCUUCACUGACGUUUCUUUAGGUUUUUGUGGAGAUAGGGGCAGACAGAACAACACUCAAAAUCCCAAAAAAUUCUUAGCAUAACAGUUCAAUUCUCUUUGGGAAAGGUUUGGUGGGUGGCGGGGAAAGAAAUGAGCUUUCUCAACUUAGUUAAAAGAAACUCAAAAGCUCUUGCAUAAGGGUCUAAGACUAAGAUGCUAUCUGGCAUUCUCUCAAAGGUGAACACUACUAUUUACUGUCAACGGAUUCAGGAAGCAAUUACACGGCCACAAGCAGUGCCAACACCAUUAUUGUACAGGAAUCCAGUUCUGUCUCUUUCUUCAGGCAACAAGGUUUAUAGAAAAUCAAUGGCUACUUCACCUUCCAAAUCUGUGCUUGGAGAUGUUUAUGUUGAUGACUUGGUCUCCAGUUGUAGCAGUGGUGUGGAUUUCACAAAGCCUGCUGGUGUGUACUUCAGGAUUUGAAUAUUUUGUAUUAUUAGUGGAUUGCAAUUUAAAUAAAUAUAACUCUAAGUUUAGUUAUU